UCUUAACUUAUUUGACCAAACAAAUGGUCAGGGGUGUGCCAGUCUGCACCUAUGGCUGGGUAUGACCACCAUUUGCUAUGGUUUCCCAAUUACUUUGCACUUACUCCUAGUUCUAAGUUAUGCCCCUCUUUGGUAAGCCAUUCUUUGGGACCUUUGAGUUUUGGAUGCCUGAGGGCUGGCUAUUCUGCACUGCACUAUUCUAAUUAUAAAUGGGUAUCUUGGGUGUAAGCAAUGCUGAGAAUUCCUGAAAUUCCUUGGAACUUUGAAACACCCUAGAUUAAGAGAAGGCUUUGAAAAUCUGGAUUCUGG
rnacentral:lncRNA from 1 species